rnacentral:rRNA from 1 species
CCUCAAUCCUAGCCUUCCGCACACUCAUGCACACUCACCCCACUGCUCCACAAUAAAACAUUUUAACAUUAUAGUACAGGAGAUCAAAAUACUUCCAAGCGCUUCAGAUUAAGUACCGUAAGGGAACGAUGAAAUAAAAAUGAAACAAAUUUAAAGCCCUAAAUAGCAGAGAUUGUCCCUCGUACCUUUUGCAUCAUGGUCUAGCUAGUUUAACUAAGCAAAAAGAAAUUUAAGUUUAACCCCCCGAAACUAAGCGAGCUACUUCAAAAUAGCUAUAAGAGCCAACCCGUCUCUGUUGCAAAAGAGUGGGAGAAUUUUUAAGUAGCGGUGAUAAACCUAUCGGGCUUAGAGAUAGCUGGUUGUUCAGGAAAAGAGUUUCAGCUCCACCUAAAGUUUUUUUAUUGUCCCAAAAAUCUCUUUAAACUUUAGAGUCACUCAAAUAAGGCACAGCUUAUUUGAAUAAGGAUACAGCCUACAACAACGGGUAAAUAGAGGAGUUAUAAUAAUGGGCCUAAAAGCAGCC